rnacentral:rRNA from 1 species
CUCCUCUUGUUUAAAUAAGAGGUACCAUCUGCCCAAUGCAACAUUGUAAAUGGCCGCAGUAUUCUGACUGUGCUAAGGUAGCAUAAUCAUUAGUCUUUUAAUUGAAGGCUGGUAUGAAUGAUGAGACGAGAAAAAAGCUGUCUCUAAAAUAUUUUUUGAAUUUUAUUUUUAGGUGAAAAAGCCUAAAUAAUUUUGAAGGACGAUCAGACCCUUUGGAGCUUUUUGUUGGGGCGACAGGGAGUUUAAAUAACACUCUUUUUUACAAACACAAAUAAUUGAAUAAUUGAUCCUUAACGAGAGAUUAAAAGACUAAGUUACCCUAGGGAUAACAGCGUAAUCUUCCUGGAGAGUUCUAAUCGAUAGGAAGGUUUGCGACCUCGAUGUUGGAUUAAGAGAUUAGCAAGGUGUAGAAGUUUUGUUGGAGAGUCUGUUCGACUCUUGAUUUCUUACA